AGUGACAGACGCCGCAUAAGCAUUUUUUAUCUGGUUUCGUUUAAUUGUAUUUCUGAAACUUCAAAAUGGACCGAAAAACAAUUCGUAAGAAUAUCUACUGGACCCUUGAUUUGGAAACGAAGAUUGCGAAACUCGGCAGGAAGGAAGCCAAAAUUGAAUAUUUAGAGAAGAGUAUUAUUUCGUUUCAACUUGAGGAAAAAGCUUUAUUGAAAUGCGAACGGUCUCUUGCCAUCCUUGAUGGUGAUUUAGACGACGGCUCCACGCGAUGCCCAAGGCGCAGCUCGAGGCUCAGGGAAAAGCAUCAGGCGCAGCAAAAGGGCGAGUAGGACAACGACGUAAGCAACGAGUGCGAAGGCGAAGACAACCAAAACCCGCCUGGUUCUGGACCCUUCGACCCUUCCAAUUGCGAUGCGGCUUCGAGCCUAUGCUCUGGCCACACAACCACUAGAACACAACCACCACUUACACCAAGAGAUUAUUGAAAUAGCAACACAUCACCCCACCUACUCCAUUGUUACAAUAAACAUGAACUAUUAAAAGUUA